UACAGAGGUGGCAAGCGUUGUUCGGAAUUACUGGGCGUAAAGGGCGCGUAGGCGGUUCGUUAAGUCCUGUGUGAAAUCCCCCGGCUCAACUGGGGAACUGCACAGGAAACUAGCGGGCUUGAGUUCGGGAGAGGGAAGCGGAAUUCCGGGUGUAGCGGUGAAAUGCGUAGAUAUCAGGAGGAACACCGGUGGUGUAGACGGCUUUCUGGACAAUCACUGACGCUGAGGUACGAAAGCGUGGGUAGCAAACAGG
rnacentral:rRNA from 1 species